rnacentral:rRNA from 1 species
AACGAACGCUGGCGGCGCGCCUAAUACAUGCAAGUCGAGCGAGAAGGUGUAGCAAUACACUUGUAAAGCGGCGAACGGGUGAGGAAUACAUGGGUAAUCUACCAUCGAGUGGGGAAUAACCAGCCGAAAGGUUGGCUAAUACCGCGUACGCUUCCGAGUCUUCGGGCUUGGAAGGAAAGCCGCACUGUGAGUGCGGCGCUCUUUGAUGAGCUCAUGUCCUAUCAGCUUGUUGGUAGAGUAACGGCCUACCAAGGCUUUGACGGGUAGCUGGUCUGAGAGGACGAUCAGCCACACUGGCACUGCGACACGGGCCAGACUCCUACGGGAGGCAGCAGUAAGGAAUAUUGCGCAAUGGGCGAAAGCCUGACGCAGCGACGCCGCGUGGGGGAUGAAGGUCUUCGGAUUGUAAACCCCUUUCGGGAGGGAAGAUGGAGCGAGCAAUCGUUCGGACGGUACCUCCAGAAGCAGCCACGGCCAACUUCGUG